rnacentral:rRNA from 1 species
GGUGAGUAACACGUGGAUAACCUACCUAUAAGACUGGGAUAACUUCGGGAAACCGUAGCUAAUACCGGAUAAUAUAUUGAACCGCAUGGUUCAAUAGUGAAAGACGGUUUUGCUGUCACUUAUAGAUGGAUCCGCGCCGCAUUAGCUAGUUGGUAAGGUAACGGCUUACCAAGGCAACGAUGCGUAGCCGACCUGAGAGGGUGAUCGGCCACACUGGAACUGAGACACGGUCCAG